rnacentral:rRNA from 1 species
CUACGGGCGGCAGCAGUGGGGAAUAUUGGACAAUGGGGGAAACCCUGAUCCAGCAAUGCCGCGUGUGUGAAGAAGGCUUGCGGGUUGUAAAGCACUUUCGGUUGGGAGGACUGCUUCUAGCACUAAUAUUGUUGGAAGUUGACGUUACCUUCAGAAGAAGCACCGGCUAACUCCGUGCCAGCAGCCGCGGUAAUACGGAGGGUGCAAGCUUUAAUCGGAAUUACUGGGCGUAAAGCGCGCGUAGGCGGCUAGAUCAGUCGGGUGUGAAAGCCCCGGGCUUAACCUGGGAACUGCAUCCGAUACUGUCUAGCUUGAGUACAGGAGAGGAGAGUGGAAUUCCACAUGUAGCGGUGACAUGCGUAGAUAUGUGGAGGAACACCAAUGGCGAAGGCAGCUCUCUGGCCUGAUACUGACGCUGAGGUGCGAAAGCGUGGGGAGCAAACAGGAUUAGAUACCCUUGUAGUC